AUACAACAGCUAUUAUUUACUUGAUGUUGACAUCCUACGUGGAUAACUGUGGUAAUUCUAGAGCUAAUACAUGCACCAAAGCUCCGAUUUUCUGACGAGCGCAUCUAUUAGAUUAAAACCAAUCGGGUCUCGGCCCGUCUCUUGGUGACUCUGAAUAGCUAUGGCUGAUCGCAUGGUCUUGUACCGGCGACGUGUCUAUCAAGUGUCUGCCUUAUCAACUUUCGAUGGUAGUUUAUGUGCCUACCAUGGUUGUAACGGGUAACGGAGAAUAAGGGUUCGACUCCGGAGAGGGAGCCUGAGAAACGGCUACCACAUCCAAGGAAGGCAGCAGGCGCGCAAAUUACCCACUCUCGGCACGAGGAGGUAGUGACGAAAAAUAACGAGACCGUUCUCUUUGAGGCCGGUUAUCGGAAUGGGUACAAUUUAAACCCGUUAACGAGGAUCUAUGAGAGGGCAAGUCUGGUGCCAGCAGCCGCGGUAAUUCCAGCUCUCAAAGUGUAUAUCGUCAUUGCUGCGGUUAAAAAGCUCGUAGUUGGAUCUUCGCCUCUGGACUCGGUCCGCCCACUGGGUGAGAACUGGGAUCCAGGGCUGUUACUGCUGGUUGCCCCUACGUUGCCUUCACCGGUCGCGUAGGGUGGCUAGCGAGUUUACUUUGAAAAAAUUAGAGUGCUUCACGCGGGCUAUUGUCUGAAUACUCGUGCAUGGAAUAAUAGAAUAGGAUCUCGGUUCUAUUUUGUUGGUUUUCUGAUCUGAGAUAAUGGUUAAGAGGGACGGACGGGGGCAUUCGUAUCGCUGCGUGAGAGGUGAAAUUCUUGGACCGUAGCGAGACGUCCGACUGCGAAAGCAUUUCCAAGAAUGUCUUCAUUAAUCAAGAACGAAAGUC
rnacentral:rRNA from 1 species